rnacentral:rRNA from 1 species
GCGGAGAUAAGAGGAGUAUUGUACAAAUUUUAUAUCAGCGGCGGACGGGUGAGUAACACGUGAGUAACCUGCCUUUCACUGGGGAAUAACAUCGAGAAAUCGGUGCUAAUACCGCAUAACGUCAUGAGACCGCAUGGUUUUAUGACCAAAGGAGUAAUCCGGUGAAAGAUGGACUCGCGUCCGAUUAGAUAGUUGGUGAGGUAAUGGCCCACCAAGUCUGCGAUCGGUAGCCGAACUGAGAGGUUGAUCGGCCACAUUGGGACUGAGACACGGCCCAGACUCCUACGGGAGGCAGCAGUGGGGAAUACUGGGCAAUGGGCGAAAGCCUGACCCAGCAACGCCGCGUGAAGGAAGAAGGUCUUCGGAUUGUAAACUUCUUUGAUCAGGGACGAAUAAAUGACGGUACCCUUGGAGGAAGCCCCGGCUAACUACGUGCCAGCAGCCGCGGUAAUACGUAGGGGGCGAGCGUUAUCCGGAAUUACUGGGUGUAAAGGGCGCGUAAGCGGGAAUGCAAGUCAGAUGUGAAAUCUCCGGGCUUA